rnacentral:rRNA from 1 species
GACGAACGCUGGCGGCGUGCUUAACACAUGCAAGUCGAACGGAAAGGCCCUGCUUUUGUGGGGUGCUCGAGUGGCGAACGGGUGAGUAACACGUGAGUAACCUGCCCUUGACUUUGGGAUAACUUCAGGAAACUGGGGCUAAUACCGGAUAGGAGCUCCUGCUGCAUGGUGGGGGUUGGAAAGUUUCGGCGGUUGGGGAUGGACUCGCGGCUUAUCAGCUUGUUGGUGGGGUAGUGGCUUACCAAGGCUGUGACGGGUAGCCGGCCUGAGAGGGUGACCGGCCACAUUGGGCCUGAGGUACGGCCCAGACUCCUACGGGAGGCAGCAGUGGGGAAUAUUGCACACUGGGCGGAAGCCUGAUGCAGCAACGCCGCGUGCGGGAUGACGGCCUUCGGGUUGUAAACCGCUUUCGCCUGUGACGACGCGUGAGUGACGGUAAUGGGUAAAGAAGCACCGGCUAACUACGU